UUUCCAAAAAUACAUUUUCCUGAGCUUCAUUCCUAGAUAUUCUACGUUGAGAAUUAUUGCUCCAGAGUAAGCACCGAUUGAAGGGAGAGCCCACUCUGAAAAGAUGGACCAUUAAAGCACAAAUGGCAACUUUUAGCUCAUUUCUGAUUAAGGUGAACUGAUUAAAUGGUCAUAAAGCUGCAGAAGGAAGAUCUACAUCCUAAAAUAUAGGAGGAAGCCACCACAAUUCAGUUGAUGCAACACAGGAAUGAUGUUCUUUUCCCUUCAUGGCUCCUGAGGGCAUGUCAAGGCCUACUGCAGAAACCGAACAUUAGAAGUAGAUUGAUCAGGCCAGAUACCGUGGCUCACGCCUGUAAUCCCAGCACUUUGAGAGGCCGAGGCAGGCGGAUCACCUGAGGUUAGGAGUUUGAAACCAGCCUGGCCAACACGGCGAAACCCCAUCUCUACUAAAAAUACAAAAAUUUAGUAGGGCGUGGUGGCAUGUGCCUGUAGUUCCAGCUACUGGGGAGGCUGAGGCAGGAGAAUCGCCUGAACCUGGGUGGCGGAGGUUGCAGUGACCUGAGAUUGUACCACUGUACUCCAGCCUGGGCAACAAGAGCAAGACUCCAUCUUAAAAAAAAAAAAAAAGAAAAAGAAAAAGAAAAAGAAGAAGUAGAUCAAUCAGUUGAUAAUGUACUCUACCAUGAGCACAUUUUAGUCAGCUUAAGCAUUGCAAGAAAGUGAAAAAAGUAAGUGGCCUCUCAGAGUAGUGGGGUUUUUUUUUUUUUUUUGUAAAGGGCUACUACUAGCUGACUAUCCUUUUGACAGACAGUUGAGUCACCACAGCAAAAACUCUCUUUACUCUCAGAAUAUGUGUGGAUAACCCUCAGAGUGGCAGGGUAAAUGUAGUAAAAUAUUAAAGAGGACUUGGAGAACAUUAAUGUUGCUAGAGAAGGAAAGUGAUCAUUUCUUUUUACUGACAUUGAAGAAGUUGUUUCUGAAGCUUCCCCUCACUGUCGGUGUUGGUAGAGUAAGAGGUGGUGGUCUCUUGCUAAGUGUGAAGAACUGGAGGUGGGAAAGUGUGGGACAUGCAGCACCUAGCACUCCAGAAGGGCAGCAGAAGCAGUGAAAAAUUUGCAGGGAAUAGGUGCAGCUUAGGGGUGCUAAAGAAGGGGCACAAGAACUAAUACUCGCAGGAUUCACUUUAGGAACAGUGCGGCCAUAGCUGUUUUAAUCGCC
rnacentral:lncRNA from 1 species